CGCGUAAGCAGGUCUCGAGCUCGCCCCUUGGGCGCGGCGGCAGCGCUGCCUCCCUCCCAUGGGGUCCUGGCUCCUCCGCGUCGUCCCCGGGGUAACGGCCCCGGCCCGCCCUGUUGUGGGGACUGCGAGCCUCAGGAGCCACCGGGAAGCCUGAGGAAGCUGAGGCAGGGGGCUGGGCGGGUGAGGGUCCGGGGAGUCCGGGGCGAUGGCCCUGGCCCUGCCGGCCCGGCCGAUACCUCUCGGCCUAAUGCACCUGACGCCCCGGGGGGACGUCUCUGCAUCUUGCUGGGCCCGGGGGCACCCCUGGGAAGGAGACACCCCAGUACCCUGCAAAGGGCGUAGGGUGUUGCCCGGCCUUGGGUCCACAACCUACCCCUGCUAACACCCCUACUGUGUACACCUAAUGCUGAGUCUGCGACAUCGCCGGUGACAUUCUGCCAGAUGAUGGCCCCUGUGCUUAGGUCCGAUUUAAGGGUUAGCCACAAUGAUAAUAUUGCCGGUAACAGGGCAUGUUUGUCUCUGUGUCAAGCGCUUUAAGUUCUCUCUGAAUUGCCGCAACUCUGGGAGCCGGAUGAGAAAACUGAGGUGCAGGGAGAUUAGAGCCCAUUGCCAAGGUUUUAGAGUGAGUCAGUAGCUCAGCUGCAUUUGCACCUGGAACCCGCGCUCUCGCCCACCCUGCUCUAGCCCUGGCCUGUGGCUGGGACCUCCAGCAUAAACCGGAUGCUCUGCCCAGCUCUGGGCCCAUUUCUGCUGUUUCUGCUCAGUUCAACCCUGAUGGCUUCCUUUAUGGGUGACACUCCAUGUCACCCAGGCGAACUGUCAGCCUUUGGAGUGGCACCCAGUAGGGUCUUUACUUCCAGCUUCUUGUUCACAGUCUUCACGCCUUCGUACCCGUCACUCCCUGGGUAACAUCGGGCCACCAGUAAUGCUGGUUGCUAGCUCUGCAACACCGUGUACGGUGUAGUAGCUAAGAGCAGAGCUUUCGGGUGUGAAGUACCUGAGUACAGUUCCUGCCUUCCCCUGUGUGUGCCUGGAACAGAGUAAACACUCAGGAAGCGUUACCCAUUGCUGCCAUUCCCAGAGAUGCAAAAGGCCGAGUGUACUACUUCAACCACAUCACUAACGCCAGCCAGUGGGAGCGGCCCAGCGGCAACAGCAGCAGUGGUGGCAAAAACGGGCAGGGGGAGCCCGCCAGGGUCCGCUGUUCGCACCUGCUGGUGAAGCACAGCCAGUCAAGGCGGCCCUCGUCCUGGCGGCAGGAGAAGAUCACCCGGACCAAGGAGGAGGCCCUGGAACUGAUCAACGGCUACAUCCAGAAGAUCAAGUCGGGAGAGGAGGACUUUGAGUCUCUGGCCUCACAGUUCAGCGACUGCAGCUCAGCCAAGGCCAGGGGAGACCUGGGUGCCUUCAGCAGAGGUCAGAUGCAGAAGCCAUUUGAAGAUGCCUCGUUUGCGCUGCGGACGGGGGAGAUGAGCGGGCCCGUGUUCACGGAUUCCGGCAUCCACAUCAUCCUCCGCACUGAGUGCUGGAGGCAGACUCGAGGGCCGAAUUGUUUCUAGUUAGGCCACGCUCCUCUGUUCAGUCGCAAAGGUGAACACUCGUGCAGCCCAGCCAUGGGCCCUCUGAGCAGCUGUGCAGCACCCUUUCACCCCCAAUUAAACCCGAAACCAC
rnacentral:sRNA from 1 species